UACAGAGGGGGCAAGCGUUGUUCGGAAUUACUGGGCGUAAAGGGCGCGUAGGCGGCCUGCUAAGUCGAACGUGAAAUCCCCGGGCUCAACCCGGGAACUGCGUCCGAUACUGGCAGGCUUGAAUCCGGGAGAGGGAUGCGGAAUUCCAGGUGUAGCGGUGAAAUGCGUAGAUAUCUGGAGGAACACCGGUGGCGAAGGCGGCUCUCUGGUCCGGACCUGACGCUGAGGCGCGAAAGCGUGGGGAGCAAACAGG
rnacentral:rRNA from 1 species